UACGAAGGGGGCUAGCGUUGCUCGGAAUUACUGGGCGUAAAGCGCACGUAGGCGGCGUUCUAAGUCGGGGGUGAAAUCCUGGAGCUCAACUCCAGAACUGCCUUCGAUACUGGAGAGCUCGAGUCCGGGAGAGGUGAGUGGAACUGCGAGUGUAGAGGUGAAAUUCGUAGAUAUUCGCAAGAACACCAGUGGCGAAGGCGGCUCACUGGCCCGGUACUGACGCUGAGGUGCGAAAGCGUGGGGAGCAAACAGG
rnacentral:rRNA from 1 species